UACGAAGGGGCUAGCGUUGUUCGGAAUUACUGGGCGUAAAGCGCACGUAGGCGGUCUUUUAAGUCGGGGGUGAAAUCCUGGAGCUCAACUCCAGAACUGCCUUCGAUACUGGAAGACUCGAGUCCGGGAGAGGUGAGUGGAACUGCGAGUGUAGAGGUGAAAUUCGUAGAUAUUCGCAAGAACACCAGUGGCGAAGGCGGCUCACUGGCCCGGUACUGACGCUGAGGUGCGAAAGCGUGGGAGCAACAGGG
rnacentral:rRNA from 1 species